rnacentral:rRNA from 1 species
UACGUAGGCAGCAAGCGUUGUUCGGAAUUACUGGGCGUAAAGGGCUCGUAGGCGGCCAACUAAGUCGGACGUGAAAUCCCUCGGCUUAACCGGGGAACUGCGUCCGAUACUGGAUGGCUUGAGUUCGGGAGAGGGAUGCGGAAUUCCAGGUGUAGCGGUGAAAUGCGUAGAUAUCUGGAGGAACACCGGUGGCGAAGGCGGCAUCCUGGACCGACACUGACGCUGAGGAGCGAAAGCCAGGGGAGCAAACGGG